rnacentral:misc_RNA from 1 species
GAUGAAGAACGUAGUAAAAUGCGAUAAGUAAUGUGAAUUGCAGAAUUCAGUGAAUCAUCGAAUCUUUGAACGCACAUUGCGCCCGCUGGUAUUCCGGCGGGCAUGCCUGUUCGAGCGUCUUUUCAACCCUCAAGCCCCCGGGUUUGGUGUUGGGGAUCGGCUCUGCCUUCUGGCGGUGCCGCCCCCGAAAUACAUUGGCGGUCUCGCUGCAGCCUCCAUUGCGUAGUAGCUAACACCUCGCAACUGGAACGCGGCGCGGCCAUGCCGUAAAACCCCAACUUCUGAAUGUUGACCUCGGAUCAGGUAGGAAUACCCGCUGAACUUAAGCAUAUCAAUAAGCGGAGGA